GUGACCCCAGGAUGAGCGAGGCCACCCG
rnacentral:rRNA from 1 species